GAGACAGGUUUGUUGCUUUGUGGUUGAGGCGUAUCAGGUGCCUGAUCGGAAGGGCCCUUUAGUACGAGAGGAACGAGGGCUCGGAGCCACUAGUUUACCAGUUGUCCGGCAGGGCAACGCUGGGUAGCCACGCUCCAGCGGAUAAGAGCUGAAAGCAUCUAAGCUCGAAGUCGUCCGAAAGACGAGGCACCUCAGGGGACUCGUAAAAGACGAGAUUGAUAGACAGCGGGUGUAAGGACCGAGGUUCGCCGAGGUCUUCAGCCCAGCUGCACUAACCCCCCGAGCAUCAAAA
rnacentral:rRNA from 1 species